rnacentral:rRNA from 1 species
UACGGAGGGUGCAAGCGUUGUCCGGAUUUAUUGGGUUUAAAGGGUGCGUAGGCGGCUUAUUAAGUCAGGGGUGAAAGACUAUUGCUUAACAAUGGCAGUGCCUUUGAUACUGAUAGGCUUGAGUACAGCUGAGGCAGAUGGAACGGGUGGUGUAGCGGUGAAAUGCAUAGAUACCAUCCAGAACACCGAUUGCGAAGGCAGUCUGCUAAACUGUAACUGACGCUGAGGCACGAAAGCGUGGGGAUCAAACAGG